rnacentral:rRNA from 1 species
AUUGAACGCUGGCGGCAGGCCUAACACAUGCAAGUCGAGCGAGCGGCGGACGGGUGAGUAAGGGCUGGGAAACUGCCUGAUGGCGGGGCAUAACUACUGGAAACGGUUGCUAAUACCGCAUACAAGCAGAUGUGCGCAGAUGGGAUUAGCUAGUAGGGUGGGUAACGGCUCACCUAGGCGACGAUCCCUAGCUGGUCUGAGAGGAUGACCAGCCACACUGGAACUGAGACACGGUCCAGACUCCUACGGGAGGCAGCAGUGGGGAAUAUUGCACAAUGGGCGCAAGCCUGAUGCAGCCAUGCCGCGUGUGUGAAGAAGGCCUUCGGGUUGUAAAGCACUUUCAGCGGGGAGGCGUUACCCGCAGAAGAAGCACCGGCUAACUCCGUGCCAGCAGCCGCGGUAAUUC